rnacentral:rRNA from 1 species
AUUGAACGCUGGCGGCAGGCCUAACACAUGCAAGUCGAGCGAGCGGCGGACGGGUGAGUACUGGCUGUGAAACUGGCUGAUGGGGGGGGAUAACUACUGGAAACGGUAGCUCAUACCGCAUACCAUCAGAUGUGCCCAGGUGGGAUUAGCUGGUGGGUGGGGUAACGGCCCUCCUAGGCGACGAUCCCUAGCUGGUCUGAGAGGAUGACCAGCCACACUGGAACUGAGACACGGUCCAGACUCCUACGGGAGGCAGCAGUGGGGAAUAUUGCACAAUGGGCGCAAGCCUGAUGCAGCCAUGCCGCGUGUAUGAAGAAGGCCUUCGGGUUGUAAAGUACUUUCAGCGGGGAGGCGUUACCCACAGAAGAAGCACCGGCUAACUCCGUGCCAGCCGCCGCGGUAAUUC